rnacentral:lncRNA from 1 species
UUUCACCCCCAACUUCAGGGGUUUCUUGGGUUUGUAUCUUAAGCUGGUGGCAUAGUUGUUGAGCUUGCGAGGUCUGGUAUCUUCCCUAGUACUACUAGAACACUGAUUUCUCAACACUGGGGAAGAAGGUGCAGAGGAUUCUGGCGGAGAGCCCACUGUGGAAUUAUCACUGGCAGACAGUGUACAUAUAAUAGGUCUAGCAGUCCUCUGGAGGCCAAGUGUUAUGACUUUGCAAAUUAUAACACUAAGCCUUUGGUUACCACCUGUCAAAUCCCUUUGGGAUAUGGCCGCCUAGACACCAGGAUCCUUCUAGCUGCAAAUCUUAAAGGAAGUUGGUUGAACUUGAACAACAUAUUCCUGGUUGAAAUAAGACAAAUUUAUUUUAUUUUGGUUUUUCAAGUUAGGGUUUCUCAGUGUACCAGAUCCCGAACUAUCCUGGACUUGCUUUGUAGACCAAGUUAGCCUAGAACUCUGCAUUGGGAUUAAAGGUAUGCACCACCACCACCCAGUGACACAGAAGGUGUUUGUUUUUUUAUUUUGAAAGACUUAGCAAUCCGUUGCUUCUUAUAGAACCCAGGACUACCAGCCCAGGAAUGGGCCCUCCCACCCUUCAUCACUAAUUGAGAAAAAUGCCUUACAGCUGAAUCUCAUGGAGGCAUUUCCUCAAGGGAGGCUCCUUUCUCUGUGAUAACUCCAGCUUGUGUCAAGUUGACACACAAAACUAGCCAGUACAGAUAGCCUUUUUAGUACUGGUUGAACAAUCUUCCCUCUUGCCUUUGAUGCUAGAAUCUUACGGCAGUUAGGGUUUAGAGGUUAACGAUAUAGUGAAAGAUCGUACUUAGAAGUUCUAAGCCUCGGCCAUGCUUUACCAGGCUGCUGUCAAUAUCACUUCAGUAAUGAUGCAUUGGAAUACUAAACGGACUCUCAUUUCCCAGACAUUGUUUUGACUCUAGGCUGAGGAAGGUUUACACGCUUGGGAAGAUAUGCAGAGAACAUGAAAGAAGCAAUCCUUCAAAGCAGCCAUGUCAGAAGAUAGAAGGACUUUUUUUUCCCCUUACAGUGUUUCUUUCUAAAACAAAGAAAUCUUCCUCUGGAUGCCCUUGCAAUUCAGGCUUCAUGUCUCACUGGCUCAUUUUCUCAUGCCACUGGGAAAGCAGCAAAGUCAUCCUUUAUAAGACUUACAUUAAUGGGACUUAUCCUUUGCAUCGUAAGGACUAGGAAGGUUAGUUAUGUCUGACAAGACAGAAGCAGGUAAGGACCUUUGGGUGGGUACCUUGGCUUAUGGAGAGUAGUAGAGAGCCUUCAGCCUUGGCUCCAUGUGUUCUUACAGCCCAUGUUUUAUAUUGUGUUUGUUGCUGGUGAUCCAAACACAAGUCAUUCUAGAAACGACUGGUGGGGGCUGUCAUUUUUUAGUGGUGUGUCUUCCCUAACACAGGAAGGAGACUACAGACACAUGAAGGGCUGUAGAAUAACAGUGGCAGUUGGGAAGAAAGUGAGUAUUCUUAAAUCCCUGAAUCUCAUUUGGAGGCCUCAAGGCCUUACCACACGUUACUGUAGGAAGUUUGAAAUGCACUGAGCAUUUGGUAUUUUAAUGUGCUUUGUCAUGGCGACUCAUGUAUUCGUGUAACUAUUUGAUACCCUGGUAUUUUUGUUGGGUGGUUCAUGUAGUUUACUCCUUUUUAAAUUUGGUUGUUUGUCUUAAUGAGCUAUGAAAGCAUAUAAAAUUCAAG